GGUCUUGGAUUUUUCUAGUGGAAGUCAAAAUUGGAUCUGAUGUUGCAUUGCAGUGACAAAAAAUAUUUGUGGGUUUUUGGGUUUAAAGAAGCAUUGGGUGGGUUUUGCUUACAUAAGAUCUGAGGUUGCUGAUUGAGUUUAGGUGCCAUGAGAGCUGAGGAAUCUAAAGCAGGAGAUUAUGGAAGCUACGCGUUUUUUGUUUUAGCCAGUUAUCAGAUUACAAUCU
rnacentral:misc_RNA from 1 species